UGUGUACGAGCGCUCUGAACAAAUCGACCUUCCUGUAGAAGUAGACGACGAGCAGCCUUAUGGGAAUUUAACAACCAAAGUGCAAGUGCUUUUGGGAAGCGUAGUUUUAUCGCAGACAGUAGUUUCCAAUGACAACGUACGUCAAACGAAUGCACAUUCUAAUGUAAAAAACAAAGAGGAAGGCUCCAGUGUCGUCUUCAUUUAACAAUGAUAAUGCAUUUAUUACUAAAGACGUUUGAUCAACGAAAUGAUGUUUAAACGAGGCAUCCAUGCGCAUGGGACUGUAAGGGCUGUACUGUUUUGAAUUCCAGAAGUCGAAGGUGCUACGAGCCAUCCCGAGACGUGAAUUAAUAUCUUUGCCAACUGCAUUGUCAGUACCAACUAGACUUCCCAGGUGGUCUUGCUUGGAGGAUACUAUAGCAAGGUCUUCUGCAAAGUCUAGAUCUUCUAGUUGAGAGAAGAGUUCACUGGAUCCCUCUAGGCUUGUCUGCUGUGGUUCUGCACAUGAUCCAGUCAACGGCAACAAGAAAUAGAAUUGGGGAUAAGAUUUACAGCUUAACUUCACCGAUCAGGUUGCCAGCACCACCCGGUCCUGUAGAUUCAUCCUCUACAAUAUUAGGAAAAUUAGACCUUUCCUAUCCGAGCAUGCUACGCAAGUCCUAGUCCAGGCUCUUGUUCUGUCCAGACUGGACUACUGCAAUGCGCUACUGGCUGGACUUCCAGCUUGCACAACCAAACCUCUACAGAUGAUACAGAAUGCAGCGGCAAGAGUGGUCUUCAAUGAACCGAAGAGAGCACACGUCACUCCUCUCUUCAUUAAGUUACAUUGGCUCCAUAUAGUCGCUCGAAUCAAAUUCAAGACUCUGCACCUGGCCUACAAGACCACCACUGAUUUGGCACCCCCUUAUCUUCACUCGCUAAUGCAGACUUAUAUACCCACCAGAUCCCUACGCUCUGCAAACGAACGACGUCUUGUGGUGCCAUCCCAAAAAGGUAAAAAAUCUCUCUCACAUACCUUCUCGGUUCUACAUUUAUGGAAUGAUCUGCC